AACGCUGGCGGCGUGCCUAAUACAUGCAAGUCGAGCGAACAGAUAAGGAGCUUGCUCCUUUGACGUUAGCGGCGGACGGGUGAGUAACACGUGGAUAACCUACCUAUAAGACUGGGAUAACUUCGGGAAACCGGAGCUAAUACCGGAUAAGAUUUUGAACCGCAUGGUUCAAUAGUGAAAGACGGCCUUGCUGUCACUUAUAGAUGGAUCCGCGCCGUAUUAGCUAGUUGGUAAGGUAACGGCUUACCAAGGCAACGAUACGUAGCCGACCUGAGAGGGUGAUCGGCCACACUGGAACUGAGACACGGUCCAGACUCCUACGGGAGGCAGCAGUAGGGAAUCUUCCGCAAUGGGCGAAAGCCUGACGGAGCAACGCCGCGUGAGUGAUGAAGGUCUUCGGAUCGUAAAACUCUGUUAUCAGGGAAGAACAAACGUGUAAGUAACUGUGCACGUCUUGACGGUACCUGAUCAGAAAGCCACGGCUAACUACGUGCCAGCAGCCGCGGUAAUACGUAGGUGGCAAGCGUUAUCCGGAAUUAUUGGGCGUAAAGCGCGCGUAGGCGGUUUUUUAAGUCUGAUGUGAAAGCCCACGGCUCAACCGUGGAGGGUCAUUGGAAACUGGAAAACUUGAGUGCAGAAGAGGAAAGUGGAAUUCCAUGUGUAGCGGUGAAAUGCGCAGAGAUAUGGAGGAACACCAGUGGCGAAGGCGACUUUCUGGUCUGUAACUGACGCUGAUGUGCGAAAGCGUGGGGAUCAAACAGGAU
rnacentral:rRNA from 1 species